rnacentral:rRNA from 1 species
AAUUUUGGACAAUGGGGGCAACCCUGAUCCAGCCAUCCCGCGUGUGCGAUGACGGCCUUCGGGUUGUAAACCUCUUUCAGUAGGGAAGAAGCGAAAGUGACGGUACCUGCAGACGAAGCGCCGGCUAACUACGUGCCAGCAGCCGCGGUAAUACGUAGGGCGCAAGCGUUAUCCGGAUUUAUUGGGCGUAAAGAGCUCGUAGGCGGUUUGUGGCGUCUGCCGUGAAAGUCCGAGGCUCAACCUCGGAUCUGCGGUGGGUACGGGCAGACUAGAGUGAUGUAGGGGAGACUGGAAUUCCUGGUGUAGCGGUGAAAUGCGCAGAUAUCAGGAGGAACACCGAUGGCGAAGGCAGGUCUCUGGGCAUUUACUGACGCUGAGGAGCGAAAGCAUGGGGAGCG